CCUACGGGUGGCAGCAGUGGGGAAUAUUGCACAAUGGGGGAAACCCUGAUGCAGCGACGCCGCGUGAGUGAUGACGUAUUUCUGUAUGGAAAGCUCUAUCAGUAGGGAAGUAAAUGACUGUACUUGAUUAAUAAGCCCCGGCGAACUACGUGCCAGCAGCCGCGGUAAUACGUAGGCAGCAAGCGUUAUCCGGAUGUACUGGGUGUACAGGGAGCGUAGUCGGAUGCACAAGUCUGUAGUGAAAUGCCUGGGCUUAACCACGGAACUGCUUUGGAAACUGUGCAGCUAGAGUGCAGGAGAGGUAAGUGGAAUUCGUGGUGUAGCGGUGAAAUGCGUAGAUAUUAGGAGGAACACCAGUGGCGAAGGCAGCUUACUGGACUGUAACUGACGUUGAGGCUCGAAAGCGUGGGUAGCAAACAGGAUUAGAUACCCUAGUAGUC
rnacentral:rRNA from 1 species